AUUUUUAAUAUAAAAAACAUCAUGUAGAUCAGAGUAAUCUGGGCAGUUCAAGUUGCAAAACUGAAAAAAAUCUUGUUGAGCAAAGGAUAGAUUUAAUUUCACUGAUCCCAUUCAUGCUUGAAGGGAAUGAAAAACUAACACGACUGCACCCUCUUCACAAAUGCCCUUUUUUCAUGUUAGUUUAAUAUGGGUAAUUAGAUGUGAUAAAAGAAACAGUGUAGUUCAACUUAGAAUUUUGAAGCUAAAAAAGCUGCAAGAUAUGUCUUUCAGAAUAUGAAUAUUUAAAUAUUCCUUACAUUUCAGAGUGUUACUCUCAAUCCAGGUGUCCUUAAAAAGUAUAAUUAAAGCACUUGUUUCAAGUGUCUCUGGCAAGCAGUCAGUGGAACAAAUCCUCUAGGGAAUGAUCUCCAUCCACAAGGACUGAGUAAGAAUUUUGACUGCAAGAUCUGUCAGGCUUCUGUGGUUACAAAAAACAUGCAAGCUGUUAUCCCUCUCCAUUCCUCAUAUGAGGCUUUUGAGGGAGACUGGAAUGACCUGAGAAUUCAAAUAAUUUCGAAAGACAACAGCUUUUGAGAAGAUGUGCAUUUAAACCAUCUUUCUAGAUACUAAAUACUGUAUAAAUCUGUAGGAUACACUGACAAAACUUUAACACUGAAAGAAAGACGCUUUUAACCACGAAACUUUCUCCCUUGUGGCAGAUUUAGUUAAUAAAGUGCCUACUCACAAUGUAGUUCAAUAUUUUUCAGUCAACUACAGACAUUUCAGCAGACAGCAUCAGUGAAGCUGAUGUGACCAGGCACCAAGGACACCUUUUCUCCUCCCCAUGACACAUUUUGAGGCCAUUUCAUAAAAGAUUUCAUUGCUACCACCUGUGAUCUAACCUUGAAGUGUGACACAAUUAACUACUGAGAGUUUUAAACUCUCAUUAGAGAAUUUAGGGUUUGAUGCAACAAAGUUGCUGGAACAGAUACAGGCACUAAUAUCUUAGUGGAGUGCAAUUUAGAGUGUACCUACUGUCUCUCAGUACAAUGUUCCUCACAGCAGCUGGGACUGUUUUUCACUUGCUUACUGAGACUAAAGGAAAAAAAUACGCCAAACUGCGUUGUUAUGAACAAGGUUACUAGUUAUUCUAACUAGUUUGAUGCUUUUUGAAAUAAAAGUUCUUCAUUUCAACAUCCCAGAACCUCAAUGACUUCAAUCUGCUUCAGCACUAAAUCAUUAUACAUCCCUUCCCACUACCCUCCAACAGAGCAUGUCUCUGCCAUGUUACACAGAUAAGAACAUUCAAGCAAAUCCAGAGUCUGCUCACACCAGUUUUUAAUGACAUUUUCUCCAGAAUCUCUUUGCCACUUCUGGAUUUUCCCUGCAGAAAUCAUUAGGAAAUGUCACAUCGAGAGGCCACUGGCCCAAAUGUCUCUAAUUCAGUUGUGCACAGCAAUAAUGAGAUAGGUAAUGACUUCUUAAAUACAUGUAUAAAUAUAUAUAAUGAGACCUCCAAAUCAGAGGUAAAUCAGUGGCUCAUGAAAUUUUUUCUUGUCAGGGCUCACCAAAUUCUAGCAAAAUUACUCUUAGUUUUAGAAGGAAGUGCCAUUGAAAGGUGAAUUCCCUACAACACUGUAUCUUAUCACAAAGUGAUUCAAGUUUUGAAAUAAUUUUUAUUAAAGUAUGACAUUCCAACUUUUCAGGUUUUUAAAUAUUAAAAUAUAUUACAUUAUAUUAUAAAUUUCAAAAAAGUUAAGUUUGAAAAAACAUUAUCCAUAGCUUUGGGACCACUUUGCUUUUUGUAAACACCCACCUCACCACUAAAUGAUGAACUGCAGGAAGUCAGAGGGGAGUAAUUCUUUAGUACACUUCUUUCUCAAGCUACGAAUCUUUAGAGACAGAACAACUGUUGUGCUGUAUACUCAUUCACAACAACUUCUACUAGAGAAAUAAACCAUUUAUAAGCACAUACACAUUUCCAAAAGAAAUCAUAUUACUGCAGCAGGAAACUGCAGAAUCCUUGGUGACCAGGAAACACAGUAACAAUCCCAUCAUUUGGUAAAUGUGGCAUAUACAGAGGAACUCUGUACUGCACUAUACACACAGGAAGCCACAGGACAUAGAGAAUUACAGUCCCUCCACUAAGAAUAUAAUUUUACCGCGACUAAUCUUUUUAUCAAUUAGGAGAAAAUGGAAAUGAGAUAAUCAGAAUGCUUCCUGUUUAGCUUAGGACACAUGCAAACCCAGUAAAAAUCAGAUUUGCAUGGUUGUACAGACCACACUGUGAAAGUAUCGCAAGUAAAUAGGCUGCAAGUGCUCCAUGUACUGACUUGAACUUUACAUUAAUUUGAGUCAACAUCCAAAUUGAAGCAGGACAUAAGACAGCCCCAAAGAAAGUGCAUUUGUCUUCUGCUUUCAGAGCAAGUUUCAAACCUGAUGGAAUGGAUGCAAGGUAACCUGGCAUUGGUACUGUUGUGUGAACACACCCUGCCUGUCAAUCUCCUUGAAACUCUUGAUACAGAAACUACUGCAACAAAAGGACUUAAGAGCUUGAGAUGAAAGUAUCUGAACUGCAGAUUUAAACAAACUUCCAGAGACAUGAGCGGAUUUCCUUCACCUGACAUCCACAUGCUCUCAGUCUAUACAGGUAUCACUGGAGACAGUGGAUUAAUUGUUACUUGGAAACCAUUUAAGUAACUAGAGCACUUGAGAGGAAGCAUUUAGAAGUGCAGAUGAAGUCUGACCACAGAAGAAGAAAACAUGGCCUGUGCUCAUAGCAACAAAUGCAAGCGGAAAUACAAUACAGGUAACGUGACAAUACUGGCAAGUGCUACCAUCCUGAUGACUGAAUUACCUUUAAUGUUACAGUAAUUAAGCCAAGAGGGUACUAGUUAAUCAACAAAAGUAAAGAGGCUCUUUAACUGCAAUACUUUUUCUAUUAUGUUCUAAGACUCUUGCAAUUACCCUGGAAAAAUUCACCAUCAUGCUGAUUCUAUCAGUGGGUUUGAUUUUGUACCUUAUUUUUUAACAUCUGCCUUGGAACCAGCAAACAAAAUACUGCUUUGCAGAAACCAGGGGACGAUUCAAAGCCCUGCACAAAAUGUACUUCUUGUUUUUCUAGGAAGAACAACCUACAAUCUUGAUAACAUCUUCUGGCAAAUAAAUUGUACAUGGAGGCAAAUUAAUUUUAAAACCAACAGCAGUUCUAAAGUGAGAGACUAAGACCAAGUUUGUCCUCUAACAAUCUAACAUACCUGUCCUGUCUCUCAAACUAUAACUAGCCAGGUUUUCAAAAUGAUGGAAACAGUGACAGUUGCUUUGAGCCAUGAACCCAUAAAAAAGAGCUGCUUUCUACCUGAUUAAAGGCUCAGUAUCCAA